UACGGAAGGGGCAAGCGUUGUUCGGAAUCAUUGGGCGUAAAGGGCGAGGAGGUGGUUCUGUGUGUCUACCGUGAAAGCGUACGGCUCAACCGUAUUUUGUCGGUAGAAACUGCAGGACUUGAGGCUGGGAGGGGCUGGUGGAAUUCCCUGUGUAGCGGUGAAAUGCGUAGAGAUGGGGGAGAACACUCGUGGCGAAGGCGGCCAGCUAGACCAGUUCUGACACUGAGGCGCGACAGCGUGGGGAGCAAACAGG
rnacentral:rRNA from 1 species